UACGGGGGGAGCAAGCGUUGUUCGGAUUUACUGGGCGUAAAGGGCGCGUAGGCGGCGUGACGAGUCACUUGUGAAAUCUCCGGGCUUAACCCGGAGCGGUCAAGUGAUACUGUCGUGCUAGAGUGCGGAAGGGGCUACUGGAAUUCUCGGUGUAGCGGUGAAAUGCGUAGAUAUCAGGAAGAACAUCGGUGGCGAAGGCGCUCUGCUGGACCAUAACUGACACUCAGGGACGAAAGCUAGGGGAGCGAAUGGG
rnacentral:rRNA from 1 species